rnacentral:rRNA from 1 species
GACGAACGCUGGCGGCGUGCUUAACACAUGCAAGUCGAACGGAAAGGCCCUGCUUUUGUGGGGUGCUCGAGUGGCGAACGGGUGAGUAACACGUGAGUAACCUGCCCUUGACUUUGGGAUAACUUCAGGAAACUGGGGCUAAUACCGGAUAGGAGCUCCUGCAGCAUGGGGGGGGUUGGAAAGUUUCGGCGGUUGUGGAUGGACUCGCGGCUUAUCAGCUUGUUGGUGGGGUAGUGGCUUACCAAGGCUUUGACGGGUAGCCGGCCUGGGAGGGUGAACGGCCACAUUGGGACUGAGAUACGGCGCAGACUCCUACGGGAGGCAGCAGUGGGGAACAUUGCACAAUGGGCGGAAGCCUGAUGCAGCAACGCCGCGUGCGGGAUGACGGCCUUCGGGUUGUAAACCGCUUUCGCCUGUGACGAAGCGUGAGUGACGGUAAUGGGUAAAGAAGCACCGGCUAACUACGUG